GUGAGAUAUACCUGCUACGAGUGGGUGCUGCUAUGGUGACCAGUGAGCUGAGUUCAACAGGAGUGCAUCCCUCAGACCAUCCGGUACAUGGACAUCCUGUGCCAGUGUGAGCCGAGCGCAACCGUCCAGUUGUAGACUACAGCAGAUCGAGCCUGUGGACGGAGAGUCCAACAGGAAUGCAUCCUUCAGACCAUCCGGUGCAUGGACAUCCUGCGCCAGUGUGAUCCGAGCAUGAGCGUCCAGUUGUGGAGGCUACCAGUAGUGGAAAAAGGACUCAAUUGUUAUACUUGAGUAAAAAUGAGGCGUGACAUGCGAAACAGUCUCACCCCACGAGAAGCGGUACAUGAUCAACGCCAUCCUCAGCAAGGAGAUCUGCUGGAAGUGAUGUACUCUCACUUUGGGACGACACCCCAUCCAAUGAGUGUGAUCUGAGGACCCUGCUCCACCGACAGCACCAUGCCAGCCUGCAUGCCCCAGGUGGCCUUGUUUUUGAACAAUGUCUGGUACAGGGAGGGUUGCGGUUGUUCUAGCUCAGGUUCAAGGAGACAUGCCAUUCCACUGAACCUUCCCCGGGGACGGUUCCUUAGCCACUGAAGAUCCUCCUCUGUGGGCUCUCGGGACAGAGGGUUGUAGUCUUCGGCCAGGUACAGGUCCUCCACUGAAUGCACCUGGUUGGGCACGGCUGGCUUCCUCCUCACAUUCCACAUCCGUACAACCGAUAUUGUGAACUGCCAAAAUAGGCUGCAUUGCUACACUUAUGAGCUCCACGGAGGCAUUUGCAUGUGGUAGAGAGAAUUACCUGGUCACUUAUUAUAGAGACCUGACAAGUGGAAGGAUUUUAAGUGCCACAUGCCUUUCAAUGCUUGACUUUGAACACGCUGAAAUGCAUUUGUUGUAAGAAAGUGCUAUAUAAAAAGUUUGAUUGACAUUACAACUGUAGAAUAUUUCAACUGUAAUUUUCAUAAGGACAAGUGCAGUUUUCCCAUAAACUUUUAAUUGAUAACUUGGGAUUUUAUCACUUGACAUCAGUCAGAGUGCAAAGGGUCCUAUAAUCAAGACUGUGAAUACAUGUACCACUCUGAAUAAAUAAAUAGUUUUUGAAGCUUU